CAUGGGGAAGGACUUCAAGUGCUUCACUACGAAGAAGGCCAAAAGUAUGAACCACACUAUGAUUACUUUGUUGACGAGUUCAACACUAAGAAUGAAGGUCAACGCAUGGCUACAAUGCUCAUGUAUCUGGCGGAUGUUGAAGAAGGCGGUGAAACGGUGUUUCCUGCUGCCAAUAUGAAUUUUAGUUCCGUACCAUGGUAUAAUGAGCUAUCUGCGUGUGGUAAAAAGGGACUUUCCGUAAAGCCUAGAAUGGGCGAUGCGUUGCUCUUCUGGAGCAUGAGGCCCGAUGCUACGCUAGACCCCUCAAACUUGCAUGGUGGAUGUCCUGUGAUUAGAGGGAACAAGUGGUCAUCUACCAGG